rnacentral:rRNA from 1 species
GAUGAACGCUGGCGGCGUGCUUAACACAUGCAAGUCGAACGGAAAGUCCCAAGCUUGCUUGGGUCCUCGAGUGGCGAACGGGUGAGUAACACGUGGGUUAUCUGCCCUGCACUUCGGGAUAAGCCUGGGAAACUGGGUCUAAUACCGGAUAGGACCACAUUUUGGAUGGUGUGGUGGAAAGUUUUUCGGUGUGGGAUGAGCUCGCGGCCUAUCAGCUUGUUGGUGGGGUAAUGGCCUACCAAGGCGUCGACGGGUAGCCGGCCGGAGAGGGUGUACGGCCACAUUGGGAAUGAGAUACGGCCCAGACUCCUACGGGAGGCAGGAGUGGGGAAUAUUGCACAAUGGGCGCAAGCCUGAUGCAGCGAGGACGCGUGGGGGAUGAAGGCCUUCGGGUUGUAAACUCCUUUCGCUAGGGACGAAGCGUUUUUGUGACGGUACCUGGAGAAGAAGCACCGGCUAACUACGUG